rnacentral:lncRNA from 1 species
AGAGUUUAAAGUACAUGUAUUUGACACUCCUAUGGUUUGCCCUUCAUCUUGCCAGUAAAGAAUAAAGUACAGCUCUAUUGCCACAGACUUGUUCUAGUAUGCCACCUUCAACAUAAAUACCACUAGUUGAGAUUUUUAUAAAUUUUGAGAGGAACUUUGCCUUUCCUCUGAUAAUCUUGAAUUAAGUAAAAGAUCUCCAUUGGCAGGGUAUGAUCAGUCAUAAAUGUCCCA